CUUCAGGGCAGGGUGAAAUUCCCGAUCGGCGGUAAAGUCCGCGAGCCGAGAGGCAAGAACCGUUGCGAUUACGGUACCGACAGUAUAGUCUGGAUGAAAGAAGAA
rnacentral:ncRNA from 1 species